CAGUGGGGUGAUCUCGGCUCACUGCAGCCUCCACCUCCCAGGUUCAAGCGAUUCUCGUGCCUCUGCGUCCUGAAUAGCUGGGAUUACAGGUGUGCACCACCACAUCCUGCUGAUUUUUGUAUUUUUAGAGAUGGGGUUUUGGCACGUUGGCCAAGCUGGUCUCGAACUCCUGGCCUCAAGCAAUCCACCCACCUUGGCCUCCCAAAGUGCUGGAAUUACAGACGUGCACCUCCACGCCCAGCCAGAUCUUCAUAUAUCUAAGAUCCUGUCAAGAAGUCAUGGUAAACCCCAUCAUGAUCAAGAAUGAGACUUUGCUUGCAUCUAGGCUUCCCAAAAGUUGUUUGAUAGUAUACAGGCAUGAGAUGGUGUGACUCUAACUCAUUAGAUGCCUUCGUCUUUUCAGUCAUGUUCCAGCCAAAAGAUCAUGUUGAACUUCAUAAUGACCAUUAAUGGGGGCUUUGCUUGUAGACAAGCGAUUAUGUGGGCCUUAAGCAUCCUACAGAUCAUGUGAUCUUCAGAUAUCUUGGUAAGUAUACAUGGUGCCCC